AGUAGGAGGACCCAUGAUGCGCAGCAUCAUCUUGCAUGGGGCCGACGACUUGCCGCCGAAGCGUCAGCUGAGGGGGCGUUACCGCAA
ncrna:unclassified sequences GA-cis RNA